GCCAGUAUGACAUAAUGGUUAGAGUGCUGGACUACAAGUCUGGAGACUAGGGUUCAAUUUCCCACGCUGCGCC